CGGGGUGACGGUACUCCAGGAAUAAGGAGAUGCUAAUCACGUGCCAGCAGCAGCGGUAAUACGUGAUCUCCAGGCGUUAUCCGGAUUUAUUGGGCGUAAAGCGUUCGUAGGCGGUUAGAUAAGUCUCUGGUUAAAGCUCCAUGGCUUAACUAUGGGAAUGCUAGAGAUACUAUCUGACUAGAGGGCGUUAGAGGCUGAUGGAACGGUCGGUGUAGGGGUGAAAUCCGUUGAUAUCGACCGGAACACUAAAAGCGAAGGCAUUCAGCUGGAGCGACCCUGACGCUGAGGAACGAAAGCGUGGGUAGCGAACGAGAUUAGAUACCCGAGUAGUCCAAGCC
rnacentral:rRNA from 1 species